AUAAUUUAUACCUGUUUUCAAUAUUCAAGAUAUGAAGCUUUAUGAUUAAUAUAAAUUUGAUACCGAAUUCAAUACGAUUUAACAAGUAUGCAAUUGCAAGAAGCCAUAAAAAUUGCUCUUUCUUUUUUCGUGUUGCACAAGCAGAGAAGCUUUUAGCUUUCAUCGAAAUUAUGACGUCGAUUGAAAGGGCCCGAUAUAAAUUCCGUUACAUUAAUUAACAACACCUUGUACAACAUUCUUUUCGGAAUUAAAAGGAGUAAGAUAUAGAUUAAACAAAACUAUCCGUCACAAUGCUAUAUAUAUAUUACGGUCUGUAUUAGGGGAGGAGAUCUACAUUUCUGCAUUCUGUAUUUCUUUUGGCCAUUUUUCUCUAUUCAGUUAGAAAUAUAUGCCCUUCUCUGUAAAAUUCUUGGGUUCAGUUCCUGCAUUUCAAAACUUCCGUAUAUAAAAUUUUGACAAUAUAUAUUGUCUUGUCUGUAUCAACAACAUAAGUAUGACGACACUUCUCCGUAUAGCCCCUCUUUUUUAUUCUGUCACUGUACUGCAUAAAUGAUACCACGUUUGAAAUAAGUAUAAAACUUGGAGAAAAAAAAAGUAUUUCAAAUUCUUCGAAAUAAGUUGGAUAGCUGGGAUCAUAAACAAAAGUAAAGAUGAUAUGAGGUAUAUUUUAUCAUAUUUUCCUUGUGAUUCGAGGUACUGGUAAUGAGGAGCUGAACGUUCAGUUUGAUAACAGUGACAGUACCGGUAGCUAACCGACAUUAAGAGAAAUCUGAAAUCGGAUAAAAU
rnacentral:lncRNA from 1 species